GUUGUGUUUAUUGUUUGACAGAAUCUCCAUGCACUUGCUUCAUCGUGUCAUUACCAUCCAUCUGACUGACAAGGGGAAAGAAGGAGCUGAGGGUCAAGAAGCUCAAUUGGACCACUAAGAAAGACAUGGAGACCUAGACGAACUGCAAAAAAAAGAUCCCUGAGAGAAGAAAGACGAGAAGCAGGCAGAAACGUUGGAGGCAAAACAGAGUCUAUUGUAUCAGCGGAGGGAGAGCGCCUUGUUCUUUGGACAUUGAAUUCUGUUAUGUUGGUGUCAUGUGGACUCUGCACUGGCACUGGCAACAC